UCCAGGGUUAUUGGACCGCCGGCGGUUCAAUGUCGCCGGGCCCCCACCGCGGCCGCCGGCGUAACGCCGUGCGUCGGCCCGUCCGCCGUCGUGUCGUGUUGUCCCGGGCGCGCGGCGAGCGAGAGAGCGAGAGCGAGCCGGCUUUAUCCCGCGCACACGCAUAUGAUGUGUGGGGUGUGUGUGUGUGUGUGUGUGUAUGGUACACCGAUUUGCGCCUUUUACUCUCGACGACGACGGCGGUGGCGGUUACGCGUUGUUGUUUACUUCACUUCCGAUUCGCACUAUCCCGCACGCUCGUCGUUAUAAUAUGCGCGCGCGUUCUCUUCCUUGUUCCGGACAACGCGGCAUUGAGACUUUAAUGUACAUGUAAUGUCGAAGUGUUUGCGAGUGUGUGUGUCUGUGUGUGUGUAUGAGUGUGAGUGUACGCCCAGGACCUUGGGCGUGAAGGUGGCCGCUUGGAUCGAGUCUGUAUAUUAUCUCCUUUAUUAUACAUAAUAAAGAUGAUCGAGUGCAGUUCGAAAAACACCGAGCAACCCAUAUCAUAUUAUAUCAAACUAUGCCUACCAAAGUAAAUAUUUAAUUAGUAAGUAAU